rfam:Schistosoma rodhaini strain Burundi genome assembly, scaffold: SROB_scaffold0001158
AUUCAGCUGACGAGUCCCAAAUAGGACGAAACGCGCGUCGUGGAAU